rnacentral:rRNA from 1 species
UGGGGAAUUUUGGACAAUGGAGGAAACUCUGAUCCAGGGAUACCGCGUGGAUGAUGAAGGCCUUAGGGUCGUAAAGUCCUUUCAGCAGAGAAGAUUAUGACGUUAUCUGCAAAAGAAGUAUCGGCUAACUCUGUGCCAGCAGCCGCGGUAAGACAGAGGAUACGAGUGUUGUUCGGAAUUAUUGGGCGUAAAGUGUGCGUAGACUGUUUUGUAAGUCAAAAAUUAAAUGCUAGAGCUCAACUUUAGUUCUUUUUUGAUACUGCAUUACUAGAAAUUGGAAGAGGUGAUUGGAACUCCUAGUGUAGAGGUUAAAUUCGUGGAUAUUAGGAAGAAUACCAGAGGCGAAGGCGAAUCACUGGAACAUUUUUGACGUUGAGGCACGAAAGCGUGGGGAUCAAAUAGG